AUUGAACGCUGGCGGCAGGCUUAACACAUGCAAGUCGAACGAGUGGCGGACUGGUGAGUAAUGCUUGGGCAUCUGGCUUAUGGAGGGGGAUAACUACGGGAAACUGUAGCUAAUACCGCUUACCAUAGGAUGAGCCCACGUGGGAUUAGGUAGUGGGGGUGGUAAAGGCUCACCAAGCCGACGAUCUCUAGCUGGGCUGCGAGGAUGAACAGCCACACGGGGACUGAGACACGGCCCAGACUCCUACGGGAGGCAGCAGUGGGGAAUAUUGCGCAAUGGGGGCAACCUGACGCAGCCAUGCCGCGUGAAUGAAGAAGGCCUUCGGGUUGUAAAGUUCUUUCGGUAGCGAGGCGUUAGCUACAGAAGAAGCACCGGCUAACUCCGUGCCAGCAGCCGCGGUAAUUC
rnacentral:rRNA from 1 species